GAGUUUGAUCUUGGCUCAGAUUGAACGCUGGCGGCAGGCCUAACACAUGCAAGUCGAGCGGAUGACGGGAGCUUGCUCCUUGAUUCAGCGGCGGACGGGUGAGUAAUGCCUAGGAAUCUGUCUGGUAGUGGGGGACAACGUUUCGAAAGGAACGCUAAUACCGCAUACGUCCUACGGGAGAAAGCAGGGGACCUUCGGGCCUUGCGCUAUCAGAUGAGCCUAGGUCGGAUUAGCUAGUUGGUGGGGUAAUGGCUCACCAAGGCGACGAUCCGUAACUGGUCUGAGAGGAUGAUCAGUCACACUGGAACUGAGACACGGUCCAGACUCCUACGGGAGGCAGCAGUGGGGAAUAUUGGACAAUGGGCGAAAGCCUGAUCCAGCCAUGCCGCGUGUGUGAAGAAGGUCUUCGGAUUGUAAAGCACUUUAAGUUGGGAGGAAGGGCAGUAAGUUAAUACCUUGCUGUUUUGACGUUACCGACAGAAUAAGCACCGGCUAACUCUAGUGCCAGCAGCCG
rnacentral:rRNA from 1 species